CCUACGGGAGGCAGCAGUGGGGAAUAUUGCGCAAUGGGCGAAAGCCUGACGCAGCGACGCCGCGUGAGGGAUGAAGGCCUUCGGGUCGUAAACCUCUUUCAGCAGGGAAGCGGUACCUGCAGAAGAAGCACCGGCUAACUACGUGCCAGCAGCCGCGGUAAUACGUAGGGUGCAAGCGUUGUCCGGAAUUAUUGGGCGUAAAGAGCUCGUAGGCGGUCUGUCGCGUCUGCUGUGAAAACUCAGGGCUUAACCCUGAGCUUGCAGUGGGUACGGGCAGACUAGAGUGCGGUAGGGGAGACUGGAAUUCCUGGUGUAGCGGUGAAAUGCGCAGAUAUCAGGAGGAACACCGGUGGCGAAGGCGGGUCUCUGGGCCGUACUGACGCUGAGGAGCGAAAGCAUGGGGAGCGAACAGGAUUAGAUACCCUUGUAGUC
rnacentral:rRNA from 1 species